CGGGGCGUGGCGCAGUGGCUUAGCGCGCCAGCUUGGGGUGCUGGAGGUCGUCGGUUCAAAUCCGAUCGCCCCGAUCA
rnacentral:tRNA from 1 species